AUUGAACGCUGGCGGCAGGCUUAACACAUGCAAGUCGAGCGAGCGGCGGACGGGUGAGUAAUGUCUGGGAAACUGCCUGAUGGAGGGGGAUAACUACUGGAAACGGUCGCUAAUACCGCAUACCAUCGGAUGUGCCCAGAUGGGAUUCGCUAGUAGGUGGGGUAAAGGCUCACCUAGGCGCCGAUCCCUAGCUGGUCUGAGAGGAGUGCCAGCUACACUGGAACUGAGACACGGUCCAGACUCCUACGGGAGGAAGCAGUGUGAAAUAGUGCACAAUGGGCGCAAGCCUGAUGCAGCCAUGCCGAGUGUGGGAAGAGGGCCUUCGGGUUGUAAAGCACUUUCAGCGAGGAGGCGUUACUCGCAGAAGAAGCACCGGCUAACUCCGUGCCAGCAGCCGCGGUAAUUC
rnacentral:rRNA from 1 species